rnacentral:rRNA from 1 species
CCUAACACAUGCAAGUCGAGCGGUAGAGAGAAGCUUGCUUCUCUUGAGAGCGGCGGACGGGUGAGUAAUGCCUAGGAAUCUGCCUGGUAGUGGGGGAUAACGUUCGGAAACGGACGCUAAUACCGCAUACGUCCUACGGGAGAAAGCAGGGGACCUUCGGGCCUUGCGCUAUCAGAUGAGCCUAGGUCGGAUUAGCUAGUUGGUGGGGUAAUGGCUCACCAAGGCGACGAUCCGUAACUGGUCUGAGAGGAUGAUCAGUCACACUGGAACUGAGACACGGUCCAGACUCCUACGGGAGGCAGCAGUGGGGAAUAUUGGACAAUGGGCCGAAAGCCUGAUCCAGCCAUGCCGCGUGUGUGAAGAAGGUCUUCGGAUUGUAAAGCACUUUAAGUUGGGAAGGAAGGGCAGUAAAUUAAUACUUUGCUGUUUUGACGUUACCCGACAGAAUAAGCACCGGCUAACUCUGUGCCAGCAGCCGCGGUAAUACAGAGGGUGCAAAGCGUUAAUCGGAAUUACUGGGGCCGUAAAGC